CCUACGGCAGCAGCAGGCGAGAAAACUUUGCAAUGUGCGAAAGCACGACAAGGUUAAUCCGAGUGGUUUCUGCUAAAGAAACCUUUUGUUAGUCCUAGAAACACUGAUGAAUAAGGGGUGGGCAAGUUCUGGUGUCAGCCGCCGCGGUAAAACCAGCACCUCAAGUGGUCAGGAUGAUUAUUGGGCCUAAAGCAUCCGUAGCCGGCUAUGUAAGUUUUCGGUUAAAUCUGUGCGCUUAACGUACAGGCUGCCGGGAAUACUGCAUAGCUAGGAAGUGGGAGAGGUAGACGGUACUCGGUAGGAAGGGGUAAAAUCCUUUGAUCUAUUGAUGACCACCUGUGGCGAAGGCGGUCUACCAGAACACGUUCGACGGUGAGGGAUGAAAGCUGGGGGAGCAAACCGGAUUAGAUACCCGCGUAGUC
rnacentral:rRNA from 1 species